rnacentral:lncRNA from 1 species
AUGAAGACCCCAAGACUGCAGUACUAUACUUCAUCAAUGGUGGAUGAUGUUUUUACUCGUCUUGGUGAAGACAUCAAGGUAAAACCUUGGGCACACACAGUGUAUGGAAAAAAUGGCAUCCCAGAUGUUCAACUUGACAAGAUUGACUAUUCAUUCAUUCCAGAUCUUAAGAAGAAGCACAAGCAUAAGGCGCCCAAUGCAAAGAGGUACAAGAUUGGGAAGCUCGGCAAGAAGGAGAAGUGCCCCUUCGAGGAACAAAAUGACUCAUUUGUGCGUGUUCCUAACAUGAGAAAUAUGCUUGCUUCUCAUUUGGAUGACCUGGACCUUCCAACUGAUAUGGCUAUCAAAGUCGACCACAUUAUAGAAAAAUAUCAGUUGUCGUGGAGAAAUGCUGUUGAAGACAUAACCUCGAAAGAAAUGAGGCAUUGUGCCCAAGAAUUGGAGGAAUUAUUUGGACUUGAAGCCCGUAAUACUAUAAACAAAGAUGAAAGCAGCAAAAGGGUGGUAGUGGAUUUAGGCACAUUUAAGUUUACUGAAGAUGCAUUUGUAGAUGUAUUCCAACCACAUGGUUGGAUGAGUAAUUGGGUAGUCCAGGCCCUGGCUAUAAUAGCUGAAUACCGCAAGUUGCUUGCAUCAGAAAUCUGGUUUCACAAGGAUAACCUCGCCAUGGUUGAUCUUACUGAGACUGAUAGUGAGAAAUCUGAUGAAGAACGCGAUACAGGCACAAGAACCUAUAUUGAGACUGAUGGACGUGCCAAUGGUGAAGAAUCAGCUGGAGACAGUGAUCGAAAAGGCGAUGCUAGCAUUAAGGAAGAAUCAGAUGCAACAGCCUCUGAUAGCGAUGCAAGAAAGAGGAAACAUUCUGAGACUGAAUCUGAAAUAGAUGGAAGAGCCAAUGCUCGUGCUCCCAGAACGGCCUCUGCUUCAAGAGAUUCUAUCCCUAAGAAGACUAGAAUU